rnacentral:lncRNA from 1 species
GAAGGAACUGGUGUAUAGGGACCUCAUGACUCCUGGAGAGAUACUUGGUGGCAAAUGUCACAGGCUGUGUAGGGUAACAGAUUGGGAGGCUUUUGGGAAGAUGGGGAAUGCAUUACAAGGAGAGGGCUAUCCCAGGACUUUUUACAAGGGAAUGGUAUGGGGCGGGUGUCCUUGGACUUGCAUGUGAAUGUGUGUGUGUGAUUGUUAACUCGAGGUGUGCAACCCCGACUCUGCAGCUCAUUCUGUGGCUUCAGCUCCAGCCCCGUGGUGCUGGCAGGCCCGUUGGCAUUGCCUUACUAGUGUUCUCCCAUCUGCUUCUCGGAUCAUGUCUCUGUAGUCUUAAGAACAAGCAAUCUUGUACAGCUGUCUAUGUUCCUGCAAAUGCACCUGCCUUUAAGAUGAUCUAGUCUGUAAAGUUCGAAUUAUUUUUAAAAAUUUUAAGUAGGUUUUUUUU